GUCCACGCUGUAAACGAUGGCAACUGGGUGUCUCGGGUAUUGACCCCCGAUGCGCCGAAGUCAACACGUUAAGUUGCCCGCCUGGGAAGUACGGCCGCAAGGCUAAAACUCAAAGGAAUUGACGGGGGCCCGCACAAGCGGUGGAGCAUGUGGUUUAAUUCGACGCAACGCGAAGAACCUUACCUGGACUCGAAAAUGCAGGAAGUUGGCUGAAAGGCUGAUGUGCUCGCAAGAGAGCCUGUAUCAGGUGCUGCAUGGCUGUCGU
rnacentral:rRNA from 1 species